UACGAAGGGGGCUAGCGUUGCUCGGAAUCACUGGGCGUAAAGCGCACGUAGGCGGAUUGUUAAGUCAGGGGUGAAAUCCUGGAGCUCAACUCCAGAACUGCCUUUGAUACUGGCGAUCUUGAGUCCGGGAGAGGUGAGUGGAACUGCGAGUGUAGAGGUGAAAUUCGUAGAUAUUCGCAAGAACACCAGUUGCGAAGGCGGCUGACUGGACACAUAUUGACACUGAGGCUCGAAAGCAUGGGGAGCAAACAGG
rnacentral:rRNA from 1 species